UACAGAGGGUGCGAGCGUUAAUCGGAAUUACUGGGCGUAAAGCGCGCGUAGGCGGCUUUGUAAGUCGGUUGUGAAAUCCCCGGGCUUAACCUGGGAACUGCAUCCGAGACUGCAUAGCUAGAGUAUGGGAGAGGGAAGUGGAAUUUCAGGUGUAGCGGUGAAAUGCGUAGAUAUCUGAAGGAACACCGAUGGCGAAGGCAGGUCUCUGGGCAUUAACUGACGCUGAGGAGCGAAAGCAUGGGGAGCGAACAGG
rnacentral:rRNA from 1 species